UUCGACGAGUCGAGUUGUUUGGGAAUGCAGCUCUAAAUGGGAGGUAAAUUUCUUCUAAAGCUAAAUACCGGCCAGAGACCGAUAGCGCACAAGUAGAGUGAUCGAAAGAUGAAAAGCACUUUGGAAAGAGAGUUAAAAAGCACGUGAAAUUGUUGAAAGGGAAGCGCUUGCAACCAGACUUGCUCGCGGUGUUCCGCCGGUCAUACGGCCGGUUCACUCGCCGCGUUGCAGGCCAGCAUCGUCUGGGGCCGUCGGAUAAGACUCUGGGAAUGUAGCUCCCCUCGGGGAGUGUUAUAGCCCACUGUGAUGCGACGCGUCCCGGGCGAGGUCCGCGCUUCGGCUAGGAUGCUGGCGUAAUGGUUGUAAGCGGCCCGUCUUGAAACACGGACCAAGGAGUCUA
rnacentral:ncRNA from 1 species